rnacentral:rRNA from 1 species
GACGAACGCUGGCGGCGUGCCUAAUACAUGCAAGUUGAGCGCUGAAGGUUGGUACUUGUACCAACUGGAUGAGCAGCGGACGGGUGAGUAAUGCGUGGGGAAUCUGCCUUUGAGCGGGGGACAGCAUAAGGAAACGAAUGCUAACAUCGCAUAAGAACGUUAAACACAAGUUUCAUGUUUGAAAGAUGCAAUUGCAUCACCCAAAGAUGAUCCCGCGUUGUGUUGGCUAGUUGGGGAGGUAAAGGCUCACCAAGGCGAUGAUACAUAGCCGACCUGGGAGGGAGAUCGGCCACAUUGGGACUGGGACACGGCCCAAACUCCUACGGGAGGCAGCAGUAGGGAAUCUUCGGCAAUGGACGGAAGUCUGACCGAGCAACGCCGCGUGGGUGAAGAAGGUUUUCGGAUCGUAAAACUCUGUUGGGAGGGAAGAACGGUGGUGAGGGUGGAAAGCUCAUCAAGUGACGGUAACUACCCAAAAAGGAACGGCUAACUACGUG